UGUGAGAGGGGGCUUGCUCCCGAUGGCGGUAUUUCAGCAGGCGAUUAUUUGACUGAUAGACCGCUAUCGGGAGCAAGCCCCCUCCCACA
rnacentral:misc_RNA from 1 species